GGCUGAGUAGCUCAGUAGGUUAGAGCAGGGGACUCAUAAGCCCAAGGUCGGCAGUUCAAAUCUGCCCUUAGCCA
rnacentral:tRNA from 1 species